GAUGAACGCUGGCGGCGUGCCUAAUACAUGCCAGUCGAGCGAACGGACGAGAAGCUUGCUUCUCUGAUGUUAGCGGCGGACGGGUGAGUAACACGUGGAUAACCUACCUAUAAGACUGGGAUAACUUCGGGAAACCGGAGCUAAUACCGGAUAAUAUUUUGAACCGCAUGGUUCAAAAGUGAAAGACGGUCUUGCUGUCACUUAUAGAUGGAUCCGCGCUGCAUUAGCUAGUUGGUAAGGUAACGGCUUACCAAGGCAACGAUGCAUAGCCGACCUGAGAGGGUGAUCGGCCACACUGGAACUGAGACACGGUCCAGACUCCUACGGGAGGCAGCAGUAGGGAAUCUUCCGCAAUGGGCGAAAGCCUGACGGAGCAACGCCGCGUGAGUGAUGAAGGUCUUCGGAUCGUAAAACUCUGUUAUUAGGGAAGAACAUAUGUGUAAGUAACUGUGCACAUCUUGGCGGUACCUAAUCAGAAAGCCACGGCUAACUACGUG
rnacentral:rRNA from 1 species